rnacentral:rRNA from 1 species
UACGAAGGGUGCAAGCGUUACUCGGAAUUACUGGGCGUAAAGCGUGCGUAGACGGUUAUUUAAGUCAGGUGUGAAAGCCCCGGGCUCAACCUGGGAAUUGCAUUUGAGACUGAAUAGCUAGGGUGCGGAAGAGGGAAGCGGAAUUUCCGGUGUAGCGGUGAAAUGCGUAGAUAUCGGAAGGAACACCAGUGGCGAAAGCGGCUUCCUGGUCCAGCACCGACGUUCAGGCACGAAAGCGUGGGGAGCAAACAGG